GAUGAUACUAGUUAUUUGAUACUGCUCCUAAUGCUCUAGUAGAAGAGGCUGCUGAAGGGCACACUCAAGAACAGGGGACUGCUCCAGAACAAGAAGCAUGUGCAAGUCUGGUGUAGACAAACAAGACAUCUGGACGAGAAGAAAAAGAAGUGCAAGGCUGGUAAGGUCGAGACUCAUCUUGAAUUCCCUGGACGUGAAAAGGUUAAAUUUGGUGAAGUUGUCGAAGCUCCACCAAAGUUAUCAUUCCCAAAGAGGUGAUCGACGCUGACAAGCGCGGCCCGGUGGCGCUGUGCUCUUCAACCACUCAGAGGCGGACUUCGCCGUGAAGUCCGGUGGCCACGUCGCACAGAUGAUCGUCCAGGUGAUUUCGACGCCGGAGGUCGCCGAUGUGGAGGACCUCGACGCCACCGUCCGCGAGAGGGAGGAUUCGUGUCCAGCGGCGUCUAAACUCCUAGCCUUGUAGAUACAUCUAGAGAGGUGGUCUGUUUAGGUUGGUGGCCACUAGGGAAGGUACCCAUCGUACGAUGAUAGUUGUG